UUUGGCAACAUAAAAUUAAACUAAAAUUGGAAUGAUACAGAGAAGAUUAGCAUGGUCCCUGUGCAAGGAUGACACGCACAUUCGUGGUGUUUCAUAUUUUU
ensembl:snRNA U6 U6 spliceosomal RNA